rnacentral:rRNA from 1 species
UACAGAGGUGGCAAGCGUUGUUCGGAAUUACUGGGCGUAAAGGGCGCGUAGGCGGUUCGGUAAGUCCUGUGUGAAAUCCCUCGGCUCAACUGAGGAACUGCACGGGAGACUGCCGGGCUUGAGUUCGGGAGAGGGAAGCGGAAUUCCGGGUGUAGCGGUGAAAUGCGUAGAUAUCUGGAGGAAUACCGGUGGCGAAGGCGGCAUCCUGGACCGGCAUUGACGCUGAGGAGCGAAAGCUAGGGGAGCAAACGGG